rnacentral:lncRNA from 1 species
CCCUCAUAUCUGUGGGGUCUGUGGGCUCAGUUCCUCUUUUUCCUGUAGGAUCUGUGGGAUCUGCUCUCCUUCUGCCUGUAGGAUCAGCUCCUCCUCCUGUAGGGUCUGUGGGGUCAGCUCCCCUUAUACCUGUAGGGUCUGUGGGGUCAGCUCCCCUUAUACCUGUAGGUUCAGCUCUUCAUCCCUCCUGUAGGAUCUGUGGGGUCAGCUGCCCAUAUACCUGUAGGAUCAGCUCUUCCUCCUAUGGGAUCUGUGGGGUCAGCUCCUCACCCUUCCUGUGGGGUCUGUGGGCUCAGCUCCCCUUUUUCCUGUAGGAUCAGUGAGAUCAGCUCUCCUUCAGCCUGUAGGAUCAGCUCCCCAGCCCUCCUGUGGGAUCUGUAGGAUCAGCUCCCCACCCAUCCUGUGGGAUUUGUAG